CACAUUGAAACACAGUUCCCAUAUGAACACCAAAGUUAAGCAAUGGUAAGCUUGGUUAGUACCUAGAUGGGUGACCACUUGGGAAUACCAGGUGUAGUA